UACGGAGGGUGCAAGCGUUAUCCGGAUUCACUGGGUUUAAAGGGUGCGUAGGUGGCUAUUUAAGUCAGUGGUGAAAGCCCGCGGCUCAACCGUGGAAUUGCCAUUGAAACUGAAUAGCUUGAGUACAGUUGAAGUGGGCGGAAUAUGUCAUGUAGCGGUGAAAUGCUUAGAUAUGACAUAGAACACCGAUUGCGAAGGCAGCUCACUAAGCUGUAACUGACACUGAGGCACGAAAGCGUGGGGAGCAAACAGG
rnacentral:rRNA from 1 species